AGGUGGGGAUGCUGCAGAUCGGCUGCUGGCUGAGCCAGCUCUGGGCAGGACCCAGUGCUCUUGCCUCUGCUCAGCUUCCUUUCGGCGCCGGGAUGCCUAAGAAGGCUGGUGCGACGAACAAGGGUAAAAGCCAGAGCAAGGAACCAGAGAGACCACUUCCUUCCUUAGGUCCUGUGGCAGUUGAUCCUAAAGGUUGUGUCACCAUAGCCAUCCAUGACAAACCUGGCUCCAAACAAAAUAUUGUAACAGACCUGACAGUUGAAGCCAUAUAUGUAGCUAUGGCAGCACCUCCAUCAGAAGGCGAGGCUAAUGCUGAUCUCUGCCACUGUCUUACCAAGGUCUUAGAACUCAGGAAGAGUGAUGUGGUUCUGGAUAAAGGUGGUAAGUCUUGCGAAAAGGUAGUGAAGAUUUUGACCUCCACAACUCCAGAAGAGAUCUUGGGGAAAUUACAAAAGCAAGCCAAAAAUAAACAGAGGCAAGAAAUGAAAAAUAUAUUGUUGACAAACUUUUAUUGCUAA